rnacentral:tRNA from 1 species
GGAGAGAUGGCAGAGUGGCCGAUUGCGCAGCAUUGCUAAUGCUGUUACCAUGUCAAAGUGGUACGGGGGUUCGAAUCCCCCUCUCUCCG